GACGAACGCUGGCGGCGUGCUUAACACAUGCAAGUCGAACGGAAAGGCCUGCUUUCCCUUGUGGAUUGCGGGUACUCGCGUGGCGAACGGGUGAGUAACACGUGAGUGAUCUGCCCCCAACUUGGGUAUAAGCCUGGGAAACUGGGUCUAAUUCCCGAUAGGACUGCAGGGUGGUGCCUGUGGUGGAAAACGAUUUUCUAGUGGUUGGGGAUGAGCUCGCGGCCUAUCAGCUUGUUGGUGGGGUAAUGGCCUACCAAGGCGGCGACGGGUAGCCGGCCUGAGAGGGUGGACGGGCACAUUGGGACUGAGAGACGGCCCAGACUCCUACGGGAGGCAGCAGUGGGGAAUAGUGGACAAUGGGCGGAAGCCUGAUGCAGCGACGCAGCGUGGGGGAUGACGGGCUUCGGGUGGUAAACUCCUUUCGACCGCGAGGAAGCCACCUGGUUGGAAGGGUGGUGACGGUAGUGGUAGAAGAAGCACCGGCUAACUACGUG
rnacentral:rRNA from 1 species